UUUCGGUGAGGCGGGGCUUCCGGGAGGCUGAGGCUCUCCGUCAGCUGACCCACCGCCAUCUUGGCCGCCAUUUGCAGCGGCCCUAAGCUGGGAAGGGUCUGUGGAAGCUGGGGGGGGCGGGCUUACUGGCUACCCCUUCUCCUCAGACUGCUCUCCGGCUACAGCCGUCGCUCUGGCCUCCACGGCGUCCCCUCCGCGGCGGCCGGAAACACAGCGGGGCGGUUGCCUGAGGUGCGGUCGCCGGGUCCCCGCACCUUCUAGGGCCGCGGCAGCGGCGUUUCCCUCGGAGGCCGCAGCCCACGGGCCGCCGCGAUGGCCCUCAAGAUGGUCAAGGGCAGUAUCGACCGCAUGUUCGAUAAGAACCUGCAGGAUCUGGUCCGCGGCAUCCGCAACCACAAGGAGGACGAGGCCAAGUACAUCUCCCAGUGCAUUGACGAGAUCAAGCAGGAGCUGAAGCAGGACAACAUCGCUGUGAAGGCCAACGCUGUCUGCAAGCUCACCUACUUACAGAUGCUUGGGUACGACAUCAGCUGGGCUGCCUUCAACAUCAUUGAAGUCAUGAGUGCCUCCAAGUUCACAUUCAAGCGUGUUGGCUACCUUGCGGCCUCCCAGUGCUUCCAUGAAGGUACCGACGUCAUCAUGCUGACCACCAACCAGAUCCGAAAGGACCUGAGCAGCCCCAGCCAGUACGACACUGGAGUGGCACUGACUGGUCUGUCCUGUUUUGUCACCCCAGAUCUUGCCAGAGACCUGGCAAAUGACAUCAUGACCCUGAUGUCUCACACGAAGCCGUACAUCAGGAAGAAGGCAGUGCUGAUCAUGUACAAAGUAUUCCUCAAGUACCCAGAGUCGCUGCGUCCUGCCUUUCCCCGGCUUAAGGAGAAGCUGGAGGACCCAGACCCAGGGGUACAGUCUGCGGCUGUUAAUGUCAUCUGCGAGCUGGCACGCCGCAACCCUAAAAACUACCUGUCUCUGGCGCCACUGUUUUUCAAGCUCAUGACAUCCUCCACCAACAACUGGGUCCUCAUCAAGAUCAUCAAGCUGUUCGGUGCCCUGACUCCUCUGGAGCCCAGGCUGGGCAAGAAGCUGAUCGAGCCUCUCACCAACCUCAUUCACAGCACCUCUGCCAUGUCCCUGCUGUACGAGUGUGUGAACACCGUAAUUGCUGUGCUCAUCUCACUGUCUUCUGGGAUGCCCAACCACAGCGCCAGCAUCCAGCUAUGCGUUCAGAAGUUGAGGAUACUGAUAGAAGACUCCGACCAGAACUUAAAGUACCUGGGGCUGCUGGCCAUGUCUAAAAUCCUGAAGACACACCCCAAGUCUGUGCAGUCCCACAAGGACCUGAUCCUGCAGUGCCUGGAUGACAAGGACGAGUCCAUCCGCCUGCGUGCACUUGACCUGCUCUAUGGAAUGGUGUCCAAGAAGAACCUGAUGGAGAUUGUGAAGAAGCUCAUGACUCACGUGGACAAGGCUGAGGGCACCACCUAUCGCGAUGAACUGCUCACCAAGAUCAUUGACAUCUGUAGCCAGUCCAACUACCAGCACAUCACCAACUUCGAGUGGUACAUCAGCAUCCUUGUGGAGCUGACAAGGCUGGAGGGCACCCGCCAUGGCCACCUCAUUGCUGCACAGAUGCUGGACGUGGCUAUCCGGGUCAAGGCCAUUCGCAAAUUUGCUGUGUCGCAGAUGUCCUCACUGCUUGACAGUGCUCACCUGGUAGCCAGCAGCACCCAACGCAAUGGUAUCUGUGAGGUGCUCUAUGCUGCUGCCUGGAUCUGCGGGGAGUUCUCAGAGCACCUACAGGGGCCCCAGCAAACCCUGGAGGCCAUGCUGCGGCCCAAGGUCACCACACUGCCCGGCCAUAUCCAGGCUGUGUAUGUGCAGAACGUGGUAAAGCUGUACGCGUCCAUCCUGCAGCAGAAGGAGCAGGCCGCUGACACUGAGGCUGCACAAGAGGUCACCCAGCUACUGGUGGAGCGACUGCCACAGUUUGUGCAGAGCGCCGACCUGGAGGUGCAGGAGCGGGCGUCUUGCAUCCUGCAGCUGGUCAAGCAUGUCCAGAAGCUGCAAGCAAAAGGUGUGCCGGUGGCUGAGGAAGUGAGCGCCUUGUUUGCUGGUGAACUGAACCCUGUGGCCCCCAAGGCUCAGAAAAAGGUCCCAGUUCCUGAAGGCCUAGACCUGGAUGCCUGGAUCAAUGAGCCACCUUCAGACAGUGAGUCUGAGGAUGAGAAACCCAAGGCCAUCUUCCAUGAAGAAGAGCCGAGGCACACUCGGCGCCGGCAGCCUGAGGAGGAUGAAGAGGAGCUGGCUCGGCGGCGAGAGGCCCGGAAGCAGGAACAAGCCAACAACCCCUUCUACAUCAAGAGCUCCCCAUCCCCGCAGAAGCGAUACCAGGAUGCACCAGGUGUGGAACACAUUCCUGUGGUACAGAUCGACCUCUCAGUGCCUCUGAAAGUUCCAGGUAUGCCCAUGUCAGACCAGUAUGUGAAGCUGGAGGAGCAGCGGCGACACCGGCAGCGGCUGGAGAAGGACAAGAAAAGGAAGAAGAAGGAGAAGGGCAAGCGGCGCCACAGCUCUCUCCCCACGGAGAGCGAUGAGGACAUUGCCCCUGCCCAGCGUGUGGACAUUAUCACUGAGGAGAUGCCAGAGAAUGCUUUGCCUAGUGACGAGGAUGACAAAGACCCCAAUGACCCCUACAGGGCGCUGGACAUUGACCUGGAUAAACCCCUGGCUGACAGUGAGAAGCUGCCUGUCCAGAAACAUAGAAAUGCGGAGGCGGUGAAGUCCCCAGAGAAGGAGGGUGUGCUCGGGGUAGAGAAGAAGAGCAAGAAGCCCAAGAAGAAGGAGAAGAAGACCAAAGAGAGAGAGAGAGAGAAGAAGGACAAGAAGGGUGAGGACUUAGACUUCUGGCUGUCCACCACCCCACCACCUGCUGCUGCCCCCAUUCCUGCCCCGUCCACGGAAGAACUUGCUGCAAGCACUAUCACCUCCCCUAAGGAUGAGUGUGAGGUUCUCAAAGGGGAAGAGGAGGACCACGUGGAUCAUGACCAAGAAAGGAAAUCAUCCCGGCACAAGAAGAAGAAACACAGAAAGGAGAAGGAGAAGGAGGAGAGGCCACGAGACAAGAAGAAAGCUAAGAAGAAGCAGGUGGCACCUCUGGAGAAUGGUGCGGCAGCAGAGGAGGAGGAGGAGCCUAUCCCGCCCAUGUCCAGCUACUGCCUUCUGGCUGAGAGUCCCUACAUUAAAGUGCCCAGCCACAGCUGGAGAGCCAGUAUGACCAGGCCACCAGAGGACAGCUUUGCUAGCAAGACAGAGCGACCAGCUGGGCAGCAUACACCUUACACCUUGGGAAGAGGCAGGGGGAUUGCAAGAUCAAGGCCAACCAGUGCUGCACUACAAGACUUUGUCUCAAGGAGUCAAAAAGACAGGAACUGGGGUGCAGCUUCAUGAAGAACAUAUGACAUCCAAGCCAGCUUACAGAAGGACAGCCAAGUGACUGUGUCCAUCAUCCUGGAGAACCAGAGCAGCAGCUUCCUGAAGAACAUGGAGCUCAACGUGCUGGACUCUCUCAACACCAAGAUGACCAGGCCAGAGGGCUCAUCGGUACACGACGGUGUGCCCGUGCCUUUCCAACUGCCUCCCGGCGUCUCCAAUGAGGCCCAGUUUGUGUUCACCAUUCAGAGCAUCGUCAUGGCCCAGAAGCUCAAAGGCACACUGUCCUUCAUUGCCAAGGAUGAUGAAGGAGCCACCCAUGAGAAGUUGGACUUCCGGCUGCAUUUCAGCUGUAGCUCGUACCUGAUCACCACACCCUGCUACAGCGAUGCCUUUGCAAAGUUGCUAGAGUCAGGAGACCUGAGCAUGAACUCCAUCAAAGUCGAUGGCAUUAGUAUGUCUUUCCAGAAUCUUCUGGCAAAGAUCUGCUUCUACCACCAUUUUUCCGUUGUGGAGCGAGUAGACUCCUGUGCCUCCAUGUACAGCCGCUCUAUCCAGGGCCACCAUGUCUGCCUGCUGGUGAAGAAGGGCGAGAGCUCCGUGUCAGUAGAUGGGAAGUGCAGCGAUGCCACGUUGCUCAGCAGCCUGCUGGAGGAAAUGAAGACCACGUUGGCUCAGUGCUGAGUUGCAGUCCAGGAUGUGCAACAGACCACAGAAAGAUGUGAUGCGUCUUACCUCUCCUGUUGUGUGUACUGUCUCACACCCAGCAUUAAUUUAACACCACCGGCCUCCACUGUGUGACCCUGAGGUCCUAUGUUGCAUCAACUUCUUUUAUUAUCCUUUAUUCCGACCUGCACUCCUUUAGCAAGGAAGGCCAUCCUGACCCUAGCCAGAAAGGGGCUGCUCCACUUCCCAUUCUCAAAGGCGGCUGUGGACUGCAGGGUUACAGCAAACACACUGAUGUGGCCCCACUCCUGACCCCAUGCUGCCUCUGGAGGAACCCUUCCAGAUGCUGCUGUCCACAAAUAUUCCAACUGGUAGCCUCUAUGGAGAGGUGAUAAGGCCAGCUGUUAAUGCUUUUCCCCACAGCCUGCAAGGUCAGAUGGAUGAAGUGUCCUUGUGGGUGGCUCCGCAGCUCAGCUGCAGACAACAGGGAUGGCCCUUUGAUUUUCUUCUGUUCAACAGAACUGUGGUCUGUCUUGGGGUUCUGUUGUGGGGGUCAGUGGAAGAGUGCAAUGUAUGCCUCAGUUUGUCACUACACAUCAUGGGCUUGUCCCUGCAGCUGUGGAGGGCUUAGUGCCUUGCAGUGGAGAGUGUGCAUCCUGGGAGCAGUCAGUGCUUCCCCAGCUGUUCCUGGGUAAGGUGAAGAGACAUCUAACUGGGUAGCUGGGCACAAGCUGAGCCUUCCUCAGAGGUGACAGUGGUCUACAGACAUUCUGGCUUCCUUUGAGGACAACUGUCACUUUAGCAUGUAGAGUACUCUUACCGACCCCAUGUGACCUUCCAGCUCUAUGAUGUUCCAUGAUUGAUUUGCUGUUGACAUUCCCAUGUGAAGAGAGAUAUAUCACGCUGCUGACGAUCGGUGUCACAAUGACCCAUUAAAGAGUCAAAAAACA